CUCUCAUUUCCGCCAACCAGCGGUGGACGAAUGCUAAGUGCUAUUAUUAGUAGCUAUGGAGGGAAACGGCGACGGACGGCAAGUAGCGCGGUCAAGAAAAAGACAAUAAGUAUUAAAAGACGUCCUGGAUCUCAGCAGGAAACAUCAUCUACAGCAUUAAGCUCCUUAAUGGCUGAUAACAGACAGAUCAUCUGGCGAAGGUUUAAUAGCUGAUUUCCCUGUCGUCGUGGUAACGCUGUGGAUUCAGUGGGAAAGGAUGAUCCUUCUCAUAUCGCCGGCCUCCGCGGAGUUCCCAGCCCAGGCAGGCAGACGCAGAAAGCAAACAUUUGCAUGACAGGGUAUAUAAAUGUGAGUUUGCAAAAA